AAACCUGCAAACGAUUUGGACUACGAACUUCAAAUUUGGCAUUGGUACUAAUGGAGGUGGUAGUCAAUGGACCAGCUAACAGAACGGAGUUUUGGACACUUAAACUUUCAGAAUCAAUAGUCUGAGAUAAUUCUUCAACCUCGAGUAAUGGCAGUAGCCCGCUUGACAACAAUGGAAAUAAACCUGCAUAGGAUGUAUACCUGCGGAAUAAAUCCAACUAUAAGUUUGUUAGCUGCAGAACACAAGCUAAAGUUAACAUUAAUAAUAAGCAGAAUAUGAGAAUUCCCUUCCAAACACAAAUCAUUGUCUAACAAUAAAAAAUUAAUAACUAAAACACACUAGAAUCAAAUCAAAUAGUAAAACAACUUGUUAACAAAAAAUGAAAGUUAGUAAAACGAAUUUGCUUACGCAAGAAUCCAUUUUCCAUCGAGCAAACUCAAAGCAUCAGUGGAAGCGGGGGUUGGAUUCUUAGCCUCGAGCUGACUAAUAAGCUCAAAAAUCUCCGCUCUUGUCUCACUCGCCGCUUUCAAUCCACGAGCAGUCCCAUAAAAGGAACCAACCAAGUCCUUCUUCAGCUUCUCCGUCUCACUUUCUGGCACUAUCACCUCCGCAACUGCCACAUCGGCAGAAGGCUCUGAACCCCACUCAUCAUCAUCAUCAUCAUUUGCAGUAGCCCGAACAUACACCACCCGCCUCAAACCAUCGGCCACCAAAAUCGAUUUUCUGGCAUUUUUACUCUGUAAACCGAAUGUGAUGGUCGAUGGAGUAAUUGAAGGUGUGGAGUUGAGAGAGGUUACUGGAAGUGUGUUUAUGUGGAGAAGUUGGUUGAGGUUUGAGAGAGAGGCCAUUUUCUUUCUUGAAUUAAGAGAGAAUAAAGAUUGAAGAGAGAGGAAAAGAGAGGUUUAUUGAGAAUGAUGGAUGGAGUGAAACAUGGAUGCUGUGGAUUUAUUGAGAUCGAUUUGAUUGUGUCCUAAGAAACAAAACGGUAGAUAGCAAAGGAUGUAUACCUGCCGAACCAUAAAUCCAACCACGAAUUUGGUAGCUGUGGAACAUAGUUUUGUUAACUAGCAUGCAUUGUCAGAAGCUAUAUUCUUAUGGCAUUAUUGUAUACUUGCUGUUCCUAUCACAUGUGAUGCAAUUAAAGUUAACAUCUAUAAUAAGCAGAACAUCAUAAGUUGGCAUCGAAACACAAAUCAUUGUCAACAAUAAAUAGUUAAUAAUUAAAUGAAAAAACCCAUAUUUAUUUCAAAAUGGGAGGCAUCUAACACGUGAACAAUUUCUAUGGACUAAAGUACUAAACAUGGGAAGUGGGAACUAUUUACCAAAAUAACCUACUUGUAAGAUUUAUAUAACAAGAGAAAUGCUAAGGUCACAUUGUUUAGGCCACUGCCGUAUAGAUAUGUCACACGAUUUACAAGCUUUUAUGUGUUUAUCGUUUCCAAGCUCCGAUGGCUAACCAAUUUCAAAGUGAUCUUAACCGUUUUUGAGAUAUGUUAGAACUUAGAGUUCUGUACAUGUACCGACGACAGUUAGUCGGUUGUAACUGUUUGUCAUAAGAGCUAACUUGUAGCUCAAGCAACAAUGUAUUUAAAUAGUAUAGCUCACUUGAUCACAUCUUUCUUAUUCAGUUGUAAUUUGAGACUUCCAAAAGUAAAAAAUUGUCCUGGAACAUGUUUUCAACUUCCAAAAAGUUUUUGUUUGAGACUGUUGUAAUUUGUUUCUACAGGUUGGAUGUUGAAUCCUGAAAUGUGAAAACAGCUUUGGUGGAGUUUAAAGUUGUAGAAGAAGAACAGACAAAUUCAACCAAAUAAUGAAAAAAAUAUAAAAUAAAUGGUUACCCUAUCAUGAAACCGGUAACAAGUUAAAAGAAAAUAAAAAUUGGGAUGAUUCGGCUAUUAUUAUUGGGGCGUGUUAGAGUGCGACUAUAGUAUAUCUCCACGUAUCAAAAUACCCUAGUUUAAUGAUUUUUUUUUUUACCAAACUUGAGUUCUCAUUGGAGUACUCCAAAUGAGAAUAAAUUACACAUACAAAGCGACCAACCGAGGGCAGCGGUCCCUAACACAUCAACUACCAAUAAAUUAUUAAACUAAGACGAACAAAACACAGAGAAAAACAAAUUUGAAUCCAAGGAGCAACUAAGAUUAGUCUAAGCAUCUUAAUAUUUUGCCUAAAAAAUCAUUUAAACUAAUGUUUUAGAAACCAAAUUGGACAUCCUAGUACCGAUGCAUAGCUCAACCACUCUAACUAUUCGAAGCAACAUAAAACUACUAUUAAUAUUUGUAUUUAAAUUACAAUUUAGCUCUGUAUAUAUAGAGUUGUAAGUAAAAGUUUUAAGAGUCUUCUCUGUAUACAAUAUAUCUCAUAUGGUUAUGUACAGAAAGUACCACCAAAAGAAGUUAUAAGAGCCACUUGAAAUGGCUCAAUUUUAACUUUCCCUGUUUGGAAGUAUAGAAAAAACCACUGAAAGUCUGAAACAACUUAGGGUUUACUGGACUUGUUUGCACUACAAAAUUUAUUGUAGGACCAUAUGGCAACAGAUUAGAACACUAACAGGAAACAAAAAUACAAUGACCAUACAAUCAAAAUAUUUGCCCAAUCAAAAGAAUAAUCAAAUGCUUACAGGUCCCAAAGACAUAGUUCAAAUGGUUGAACUGAAGAAACACCUAAAAGAAUUUGAAAAUAAGCUCCAUAGUUCAAAUGAUGGUUAUAAAACUAAAUUUUUUUAUAUCUAAAAUGGUGACAAUUAUUUUGUAUAGAAAUGUUCAAAUGUAAGAAUAUACAGCGGAUGAUACUACAUAUACAAAAUUGUUACAGACAACAAGUUAUUUGCACAAUAUGUAUCUAAUCCAGUGUUGCUUAUUUAUGAAUAUACGAACAAUUGAACACUGGAUAUUAUUACAUAUAAUUUCUUUAGUUUGUCAAAAGAGAACUUCCUUCCUUGAUAAGAACAAACACACUGCCACCAUCGCCCCUUGAGAUACGUAGUUCUUCAUCAAGGUAUGUAGUAAGCAACCAUGAUUGAGCGUUGUCGUUGGAAAUUGGGAUCUUCAACGGAGGCUGAUUGGAAAUUGUUUGCACGACAGAUGAGGCAGUGUUUUGGACAGAAGUAAAUAUGCCUUUGAAAGGUGAUAGAUCAAUCUUUUGCCCCAAAACUUCCACAUUUUCUGGUAUCUCUAAUGAGUCUGUGAGUUGUGGAGUGCCUAUGACACCUUCCUCGAACUUGAUCUGAUUAAGAUAAAAGAUGAGACCAAUAACUUAAAUCAUGAUAUGAUGAAAUUCACUUGUUUGUCUAAAUUGAAUUCUACACGGAUAAGCUUUUAGAGUGAAGAACUACUAUUCUAAUCUUCAAAAAAUUACAAAUGUUAGCCAAGUAAUGUCCAUAACUCUAACUUAACUGAUAUUUAAAAGUUCUAAAAAUCAAAUUAAUAUUUUUUGUUAUAUGGGACUGUCAUACUUAAUAGACUAAUCUUGAGUUUGAUUCUCCUCAUUAGAUUAAUAUUUGACCUUUUUUAAACUAAUUUUUUUAUUUUUCGAAGACUAAAUAAAUGUCAAUCUUUUUUCUCCCGGACCAAUUUAAAACGCUAAUACAAUUGGAUAAAAGGAAAAUAGGUGGUGAGCGCAAGUGAUUAAUGUGUUUCAAUCGAAGUCAAUUUCUUUGUUAGAAUGAGUUCGAUCCUUGAUUGAAAUAGUUUAUCAGACUUGACUUACGUCAAUCGAAAUCAAAGAUACCGUAUUCAUUUCUCUCCUAACAGGAGGGUGAAGUAUAAAAAUACAAAUAGAAAAGAAGAAGGAGCAAGGGCAAACCUGCAAACGAUUCGGACUUCGAACUUCAAAUUUGGCAUUGGUACUAAUGGAGGUGGUAGUCAAUGGACCAGCAAACAGAACAGAGUUUUGGACAGUCAAACUUUCAGAGUCAAUAGUCUGAGAUAUUUCUUCAACCGUAAGUAAUGGCAGUAGUCCGCUCGAAAGCAAUGGAAAUAAACCGGCAAAGGAUGUAUAC
rnacentral:lncRNA from 1 species